rnacentral:rRNA from 1 species
UGUAAAAUUUUAAAGGUCGAACAGACCUAAUAUUUUAGCUUCUACACCAAAAAUUAAUUUUAAUCCAACAUCGAGGUCGCAAUCUUUUUUUUCGAUAUGAACUCUAUAAAAAAAUUACGCUGUUAUCCCUAAGGUAAUUUAAUCUUAUAAUCACUAAAUAUGGAUCAAAUAAUCAUAAAUUAAUGUCUUUAUAUAAAAAAAGUUUAUUAAAUUUUUCAAUCAUCCCAAUCAAAUAAAAUUUAUAAUUAAUUUUAUAUAUAUAUACUAAAAAUAAUCAAUUAAAAUAUUUUAUAAAACUCUAUAGGGUCUUCUCGUCUUUUAAUUAUAUUUAAGCUUUUUAACUUAAAAAUAAAAUUCUAAUAAAAUUAAUAAGABACAGUUAUUUUCUUAUUCAACCUUUCAUACCAGCUUUCAAUUAAAAAACUAAUUAUUAUGCUACCUUAGCACGAUCAAAAUAUCGCGGCCAUUUAAAAUAUCAGUGGGCAGGUUAGACCUAAUAUUAUAAUCAAUAGGAC